rnacentral:rRNA from 1 species
CAGCCCUAAACGAUGCGCGUUAGGUGUAUCGGUGACCACGAGUCACCGAGGUGCCGAAGGGAAACCGUGAAACGUGCCGCCUGGGAAGUACGGUCGCAAGGCUGAAACUUAAGGGAUUGGCGGGGGAGCACCACAACGGGUGGAGCCUGCGGUUUAAUUGGAUUCAACGCCGGAAAUCUUACCGGGACCGACAGCAACAUGAAGGCCAGGCUGAAGACUUUGCCGGAUUAGCUGAGAGGAGGUGCAUGGCGUAGUCGUGU